GGAUUGUGGUUCAGUGGUAGAACGCUCACCUAGCACAUGUGAGGCCCUGGGUUCAAACCUCAGCACCA
rnacentral:tRNA from 1 species